AAAUAGCUCAAUGUUAUCCACGCACUUUUUCUGCGAUUAAUGAGAAAAUCAAAAAUAAUGUUUACUAAAAAAUCAAAGCCUUUCGAAGUUUUAUCUCGCAUCACUGGACCUUAUAAUGGUUUUAAAAUUGGUGACAUGAUAACAGUCAACAAAACUAUUUUUGUUUAUUAUCUGGUGGAGAACGCAUCCAUAAUAAUGUUACUGUCGGUGAAUAUUCGACCUUUCUUAGAAUGACUUUUCUGUAAUUUUUAUAUUAAACAUUUUCGUUCAUUUGAGAGCAUUAUUAAUAUUUUUUGCUGGGAAGUGG